rnacentral:rRNA from 1 species
GGAGGAGCACGAAGGUUGGCUAAGCAUGGUCGGACAUCAUGCGGUUAGUGCAAAGGCAUAAGCCAGCUUGACUGCGAGAGUGACGGCUCGAGCAGGUACGAAAGUAGGUCUUAGUGAUCCGGUGGUUCUGAAUGGAAGGGCCAUCGCUCAACGGAUAAAAGGUACUCCGGGGAUAACAGGCUGAUACCGCCCAAGAGUUCAUAUCGACGGCGGUGUUUGGCACCUCGAUGUCGGCUCAUCACAUCCUGGGGCUGAAGUAGGUCCCAAGGGUAUGGCUGUUCGCCAUUUAAAGUGGUACGCGAGCUGGGUUUAGAACGUCGUGAGACAGUUCGGUCCCUAUCUGCCGUGGGCGUUGGAAGAUUGAGAGGGGUUGCUCCUAGUACGAGAGGACCGGAGUGAACGCACCACUGGUGUUCGGGUUGUCAUGCCAAUGGCAUUGCCCGGUAGCUAAGUGCGGAAGAGAUAACCGCUGAAAGCAUCUAAGCGGGAAACUUGCC